rnacentral:rRNA from 1 species
AUUGACCGCUGGCGGCAGGCCUAACACAUGCAAGUCGAGCGAGCGGCGGACGGGUGAGUAAUGUCUGGUAAACUGCCUGAUGGAUGGGGAUAACUACUGGAAACGGUAGCUAAUACCGCAUACCAUCAGAUGUGCCCAGAUGGGAUUAUCUAGUAGGGUGGGUAAUGCCUCACCUAGGCUACGAUCCCUAGCUGGUCUGAGAGGCUGACCAGCGAGACUGGAACGGAUACAAGGCCCAGACUCCUACGGGCGGCAGCAGUGGGGAAUAUUGCACAAUUGGGGCAAGUCUGAUGCAGCCAUGCCGCGUGUACGAAGAAGGCCUUCGGGUUGUAAAGUACUUUCAGCGGGGAGGCGUUACCCGCAGAAGAAGCACAGGCUAAGUCCGUGCCAGCAGCCGCGGUAAUUC